rnacentral:rRNA from 1 species
UGAGUACGAGACGCUAGGGCGUCGAAGUAGUGGAUGUCAUACUUCCAAGAAAAGCUUGCACUGUCAUAAAUAGAAAAUGCCUGUACCAUAACCGACACAGGUGGGUAAGUAGAGUAUACUAAGGGGCGCGAGAUAACUCUCUCUAAGGAACUCGGCAAAAUAACUCCGUAACUUCGGGAGAAGGAGUGCCUUAUUCUUAAGGUUGCAAUAACAAGAUCCAAGCAACUGUUUAUCAAAAACACAGGUCUCCGCUAAGUCGUAAGACGAUGUAUGGGGGCUGACGCCUGCCCAGUGCCAGAAGGUUAAAGAAGUCGGUUAGCAAUAGAAAGCUGGUAACUGAAGCCCUGGUGAACGGCGGCCGUAACAAUAACGGUCCUAAGGUAGCGAAAUUCCUUGUCGGGUAAGUUCCGACCCGCACGAAAGGCGUAACGAUUUGGAUGCUGUCUCGGAGAGGGGCUCGGUGAAAUAGACUUGUCUGUGAAGAUGCGGACUACCUGCACCAGGACAGAAAGACCCUAUGAAGCUUUACUGUAACUUGAAAUUGAAAUUGGACUUUAUUCGCGCAGUAUAGGUGGGAGGCGUUGAUUAUAAUCUUGUGGGAUUAUUGGAGCCAUCAGUGAGAUACCACUCUUGUAAUGUUAGAUUUCUAACUUUGAAUCAUUAUCUGGUCAAAGGACAGUUUCAGGCGGGCAGUUUGACUGGGGCGGUCGCCUCCUAAACGGUAACGGAGGCGUACAAAGGUUUCCUCUGAACGGUUAGAAAUCGUAUCUAGAGUGUAAAGGCAUAAGGAAGCUUGACUGUGAGACCUACAAGUCGAGCAGGGACGAAAGUCGGUCUUAGUGAUCUGACGGUACUGAGUGGAAAGGCCGUCACUCAACGGAUAAAAGUUACUCUAGGAUAACAGGCUGAUCUCCCCCAAGAGUUCACAUCGACGGGGAGGUUUGGCACCUCGAUGUCGGCCCAUCGCAUCCUGGGGCGGUAGUACGUCCCAAGGGUUGGGCUGUUCGCCCAUGAAAGCGGUACGCGAGCUGGGUUCAGAACGUCGUGAGACAGUUCGGUCCAUAUCCGGUGUAGGCGCUAGAAUAUUGAGAGGAGCCUUCUUUAGUACGAGAGGACCGAGAAGGACAUACCUCUGGUGUACCAGUUAUCGUGCCAACGGUAAACGCUGGGUAGCUAUGUAUGGAGUGGAUAACCGCUGAAAGCAUCUAAGUGGGAAGCCCACCUCAAGAUAAGUAUUCUCAUCACGUAAGUGAGUAAGGUCACGGUAAGACUAACCGUUUGAUAGGCAUUAAGUGUAUGUACAGUAAUGUAUGUGCUGAGAUGUCCUAAUAGACCGAGGAC